UGGACAGUCGCUUGUCCGGAUUUACUGGGUGUAAAGGGUGCGUAGGCGGCUUUGCAAGUCAGAUGUGAAAUCUAUGGGCUCAACCCAUAAACUGCAUUUGAAACUGUAGAGCUUGAGUGAAGUAGAGGCAGGCGGAAUUCCCCGUGUAGCGGUGAAAUGCGUAGAGAUGGGGAGGAACACCAGUGGCGAAGGCGGCCUGCUGGGCUUUAACUGACGCUGAGGCACGAAAGCGUGGGUACCAAACAGGAUUAGAUACCCUGGUAGUCCACGCUGUAAACGAUGAUUACUAG
rnacentral:rRNA from 1 species